rnacentral:rRNA from 1 species
CCUACGGGGGGCAGCAAUCAGGAAUCUUGCGCAAUGGGGGAAACCCUGACGCAGCGACGCCGCGUGGACGAUGAAGUCCUUCGGGAUGUAAAGUCCUUUUCUUGAGGACGAAGGAAGUGACGGUACUCAAGGAAUAAGCUCCGGCUAACUACGUGCCAGCAGCCGCGGUAAUAAGUAGGGAGCAAGCGUUGUCCGAAUUUACUGGGCGUAAAGCGCGCGUAGGCGGCUUAUCAAGUCCGGUGUGAAAUUUCGUGGCUUAACCACGAAACUGCAUUGGAAACUGGUAG